GUUUCUCCCCUCCCCGGCAAAGUUGCUUUCUUUAAACGACACCUCCAGGCCGGGAGCCGGGCGCUUCCCUUCCCCCCGCGAAUCUGGGGGCCACUCGGCUGGCACCGGCGCCGACAGGGUUACGCUCCCACACCCCUCCUCUUCCACGAGGUGCGCGGGGAGGAGACGGGAAGUGCGGCUUUCCCUGCGCCCGGGCCGGGGCAGCGCCGGGCGGGGGGGCCCAGCUCCGGGUUAACCCGGGCUCGCAUGGAGCCAGCCACCCCCCCGGGGACGGCGUCACGCGUGGGUCUGACCCGACCCCACGGAGAGGGAAGAGCCGGGCAGGAUCCUCCUGGGAAGUUUCUGGGGAGAUUUAUUCCUUUGGGGGGGGGGUGGGUGGGUAUGGGUGUGUGACAGUGCAGGGCAGCGAGAGGGGGCUUGCGACUGUGCGUGCCGUGGGCAUGCAGGGCACGGGGCGCCCACGCGUGUCAGGCAGGGUAUCCCAGCGCUGGGAGGUGCCGAAUCACUACCCUGCCCUGGGGAGGGAGGGGGGGAAUCUCCUGACGCCCCCCACCCUGCUUUAGAGAGGGGAGGAUAAUCCUCCGGGAGCGGAGCGGGGGAGCGCGGGGGCUCGGCGCUGGCUGCGCGCAGAUGGGAGCGGAACCUCUAAAGUGAUUAGCUCUUCUAACAUUGCAUUUUUGACGCACAUGGUUAAGAGCGCUUGGCGCCAGCUUGGUGAAGUCCCUGUAGUAACCAGCGUCUAGGAUCGCUUUGCAUUCACCAAAAUAUCUCCCCUUUAGUCGGGGGUGGGGGUGAAAAGAGGAGGAGGGAGGAAAGGAAGCGGGAGUAAUGCGUUCAAAGAGAUGGGGGGGGGGGGGGGGGGGAAGUCUGAUGUGUUCCACGAAGCCAGAAGCCCGGCUACCCGCGCAGCGCUCGGCUGCGCUGUGCGGCUGGUUAUCGACCAAGAGAGCGAGUCUUUCCAACCUCUGUUCGGAACCGGUUCUCGGGCCCCCGCCGCGGUGGGAACCCCCUAAGCCUAUGCCUUCCCUUUAUCAGCGCCCACAGCAAACGCCCGGCGGCUUCAAGAAGUUUGCUGCAAUUUACCGCAACCGGGGUGCCGCUCUCUCACGGGGACCAGGAGGUGCCCGCGGGCUCCCGCGGGACAAGCGCAGCCGCCCCCGGCCCCGCCGCGCCCCGGCCCCCGCGCCCGCCCCGCUGGAGCGCGCCCUCGGCGCCGCGGCAGAAACCGGAGUCGCUGCCACCCUCCGCGCCUGCCCCGCACCUUGCGCCGCUCUCCGCACACACCCGCGCAGGAGAAUAAAAUGUUUGCCGCUUAUGAUUUCCAA